UCGAGAAUCUUCGGCAAUGGGCGCAAGCCUGACCGAGCGACGCCGCGUGCGGGAUGAAGGCCUUCGGGUUGUAAACCGCUGUCGUAGGGGAGGAAAUACCGGUGGGUUCUCCCAUCGGCUUGACCUAUCCUAGGAGGAAGGACGGGCUAAGUUCGUGCCAGCAGCCGCGGUUAUACGAACCGUCCGAACGUUACUCGGAAUCACUGGGCUUAAAGGGUGCGUAGGCCGCUCGGAGGGUGGGAUGUGAAAUCCCCCAGCUCAACUGGGGAAUAGCGUCCCAAACCGCCGGGCUUGAGGGAGACAGAGGUCAGCGGAACUGAUGGUGGAGCGGUGAAAUGCGUUGAUAUCAUCAGGAACACCAGUGGCGAAAGCGGCUGACUGGGUCUUUCCUAACGCUGAGGCACGAAAGCUAGGGGGAGCGAACGGGAUUAGAUACCCCGGUAGUCCUAGCCUUAAACGAUGAGCACUUGAUUGGAGGGAUGGUCACGUCCUUCCGGUCGUAGCGAAAGUGUUAAG
rnacentral:rRNA from 1 species